rnacentral:rRNA from 1 species
AGAGUUUGAUCCUGGCUCAGAACGAACGCUGGCGGCAGGCCUAACACAUGCAAGUCGAACGGGGACCUUCGGGUCUUACGUGGCGCACGGGUGAGUAACGCGUGGGAAUCUACCCCAAAGUCGGGGAUAACCGCUGGAAACGGCGGCUAAUACCGGAUACGCCCUGAGGGGCAAAGCUUUUGCGCUUUGGGAGGAGCCCGCGUCCGAUUAGCUAGUUGGUGGGGUAAAGGCCUACCAAGGCUGCGAUCGGUAGCUGGUCUGAGAGGAUGAUCAGCCACACUGGGACUGAGACACGGCCCAGACUCCUACGGGAGGCAGCAGUGGGGAAUCUUGGACAAUGGGGGCAACCCUGAUCCAGCCAUGCCGCGUGGGUGAAGAAGGCCUUAGGGUUGUAAAGCCCUUUCGGCGGGGAAGAUGAUGACGGUACCCGCAGAAGAAGCCCCGGCUAACUCCGUGCCAGCAGCCGCGGUAAUACGGAGGGGGCUAGCGUUGUUCGGAAUCACUGGGCGUAAAGGGCGCGUAGGCGGACCACCAAGUCAGGGGUGAAAGCCCUGGGCUCAACCUAGGAAGUGCCCUUGAAACUGAUGGUCUUGAGUCCGGGAGAGGAGAGCGGAAUUCCCAGUGUAGAGGUGAAAUUCGUAGAUAUUGGGAAGAACACCGGGUGGCGAAGGCGGCUCUCUGGACCGGCACUGACGCUGA